rnacentral:rRNA from 1 species
GACGAACGCUGGCGGCGUGCUUAACACAUGCAAGUCGAACGGAAAGGCCCUGCUUUUGUGGGGUGCUCGAGUGGCGAACGGGUGGGUAACACGUGAGUAACCUGCCCUUGACUUUGGGAUAACUUCAGGAAACUGGGGCUAAUACCGGAUAGGAGCUCCUGCUGCAUGGUGGGGGUUGGAAAGUUUCGGCGGUUGGGGAUGGACUCGCGGCUUAUCAGCUUGUUGGUGGGGUAGUGGCUUACCAAGGCUUUGACGGGUAGCCGGCCUGAGAGGGUGACCGGCCACAUUGGGACUGAGAUACGGCCCAGACUCCUACGGGAGGCAGCAGUGGGGAAUAUUGCACAAUGGGCGGAAGCCUGAAGCAGCAACGCCGCGUGCGGGAUGACGGCCUUCGGGUUGUAAACCGCUUUCGCCUGUGACGAAGCGUGAGUGACGGUAAUGGGUAAAGAAGCACCGGCUAACUACGUG